CCAAAGUGUACUGAAGUCACACGCGGAGGAGUACCGUCUUGUUGGAGGAAUUAAUUUAUUAGUAUCUGCUCAUUAUCUGUUCCGCUGUCUGACGAAGAACUCUCUAGAAGCAUGGCCGUCCAGCAUAAGGGCGCAAGCCAUGAUCUGCCCUCCCCAAACGGGGUGUCGGUCGCGGAGCACGUCGACAUGGAGAACACCAGGGAGCUGAGCCUGAUGAGGGCCUUCGCCCAGCGGAGACGCCCCGUAAGCACAAGACCGGUCGCCCUGGGCAACGGGACGUCGGCUAACGGGCCAGCUGCGGUUCCUCCUUCCUCUGUGGAGGAAGAAGAACCCAAGAAAAAGAAGAAGAAGAAGAAUUUCCUGAAACGACUCCGUGAGUUAAUCUCAUGUGUACCCAGGGGUGCUGAAGCAGACGACGGAGAACCAGCUGGGCCGGGCUUCAGGAACAGUGGCGUGUCCCCGGCAUGUCAGAAUAAGGGGAAGACGCAACAAAGCAAGAGUGUCGAUGUGCUAACGACCAAGCUAAUUGAGAUAGCCAACAGCUCCUUCAUUCCUCCGGAAAUAGAGUCUGAUGCAGAAGAGGGGGAAAUAGAGAAGUUGGCGGGCCUGUUGCUCAGGCAAUGCGGCGACACGGUGGAACAGGAUUAUGACUGCGCCAAGAAGUUCACGGAGAUGCUGAGCAGCUACAGCAUGUUCGGCAAAUUGAUGUCCAAGAUCUUCCUCAAGAUCGGCCUCCCGACCAACGACCCUGGGGACCGGGGACCCAAGGGUUCAGACGAGAUCCAGACCAACAUUGCUGUCACCUGCGAGAACACAGAUGAGCCAAUGACAUCCCAGCCUCAACUAUACUCGAACAACGGCUCGGACAACUCCAUUGAAAACAACAGGGUGAACGGUAUUCCGAGAGGCUGCAGAAUGGGGUAUAUUUUAUCCCUUUCUCCGAAGCCACAAUGGGACAAGAAAAAGGUUGUAAUGUGGAUCAGACUGUGCGGCAUGCUAGAAUACCAACUGAAGCCUGUUACCAUCCGUAUGUAUUUAAUAGUUUUGAAUGUACCCUCCAUAGCGUAAUGUAGCCUUUUCGAUUUGAUCCUGGAAGAAUUUAAAUCCAUCUUCGUCCAAAUCCUCUCCAAAACCUGCUGUGAUGUACUAUCAUGUGACAUAUUUCCAUAUUUUUUUGUUAUCAAGUCUAGUUUGUUUAUCCGAGUUCGUCAUGUUGACGACGGUGGGCCUGACAUGCUCCUUUUUUUAAUAUAUUUAUUAAUUUAUCUGAGGGGCCGGCCGACUUUAACCCCUGGCUGUAACCAUGCACCAUUCCUCUGUUGUUCCGUCAG
ensembl:lncRNA